rnacentral:rRNA from 1 species
AUCGAACGCUGGCGGCAGGCCUAAUACAUGCAAGUCGAGCGAGCGGCGGACGGGCGAGCAAUGUAUGGGGACUGCUCGACAGAGGGGGAUAACUACUGGAAACGGUGGCUAAUACCGCAAACCAUCGCAUAACCUUUAUGGGAUUAGCUAGUAGGUGGGGUAAAGGCUCACCUAGGCGACGGUCUCUAGCGGGUCUGAGAGGAUGAUCGGCCAAAGUGGGGCGGAGCAACGGCCCAGACUCCAAGGGGGGAAGAAGUGGGGAAUAUUGGGCAAUGGGGGCAAGCCUGAUGGAGCCAUGCCGCGUGUAUGAAGAAGGCCUUAGGGUUGUAAAGUUCUUUCAGCGGGGAGGCGUUACCCGCAGAAGAAGCACCGGCUAACUCCGUGCCAGCAGCCGCGGUAAUAC